ensembl:misc_RNA Y_RNA Y RNA
UCCUGUUUACAAAGAAGUGAUCAAAACCAGUUACAGGUUUCUUUGUUCCUUCUCCACUUCCACUGUUUCACUUGACUAGCCUUAU